AUGUUUGCUAAUGUUGUCUGUAAAACUAUCCAUGAUACUCAUACCUGUUUGUGGGAUUUUCUUGGUUGCAAAGUGAGGACAUGUGCUGCUGCACGGGGAAGAACACCAUGUCCGAACCGGACUACUGCUCUGGAGAAGGCUUAUGAUCGUCUGGUUUCUGGUUUCAAGGACUGCAUGGUGGAAAUGCCGCCUUUUGCAGAGAUUAGGGAUGAGCUUGGACUGGAAGACAGGAUUGCCGAAAACGGUGAUGUCGUGAACCAAAUUUUCAGACUGAAGGGGCACUUGUCUUUGUUGGGGACAAAGGACAAAAUAGCCUUGCCAAUUAUGUUAAUUCAGCAAAUGAGUCUAGGAACAGAUCGGCAGGACUUUUGCCAUUGGCAAAGAGGAAGGAGAUGGGCAGGCAUACGACCGGCAGAGAGAAAGCGCCGUGCGAAGUGUUGA
rnacentral:rRNA from 1 species